UACGGAGGGUGCAAGCGUUAUCCGGAUUCACUGGGUUUAAAGGGUGCGUAGGAGGGCAGGUAAGUCAGUGGUGAAAUCUUCGAGCUUAACUCGGAAACUGCCGUUGAUACUAUCUGUCUUGAAUACCGUGGAGAUGAGCGGAAUAUGUCAUGUAGCGGUGAAAUGCUUAGAUAUGACAUAGAACACCAAUUGCGAAGGCAGCUCGUUACACGAAUAUUGACUCUGAGGCACGAAAGCGUGGGAUCAAACAGG
rnacentral:rRNA from 1 species